UACGAAGGGUGCAAGCGUUGCUCGGAAUCAUUGGGCGUAAAGCGCACGUAGGCGGCUUUGCAAGUCGGAUGUGAAAUCCCGUGGCUCAACCAUGGACGUGCAUUCGAAACUGCAAAGCUUGAGUAUGGAAGAGGGUCGCGGAAUUCCCGGUGUAGAGGUGAAAUGCGUAGAUAUCGGGAGGAACACCAGUGGCGAAGGCGACUUUCUGGCCUGUUCUUGACGCUGAGGCGCGAAAGCUAGGGGAGCAAACGGG
rnacentral:rRNA from 1 species